UGAGAGUUUAGUAUGCAGCCAGGCAGCAGGAGGGCUCAUUCUUCUUAGAGCGGAUCCAGUAUGGACGGACGAGGUGGUGUACAGAGAUCACCUGAAGGCAGAACACAUCCGCCUCGCGUCAAGCCCAGCAAGACACUCGUGUGCAACACCAUCGAGAUACAGUGCAGAGAAGAGUGAUACUAGUGACUACAGAAAUAUGUGAUCGUACUUGAACUUAGGUCCUACGCUAAGGAAUAGAUCAUUGGCUUAGUUGUUCGCGGGAAGGACGCAAGUGGCACCAAGGGUGAUGGCGCGGGAUUAUGCAAACAAGAGCAAACUUCUAAGUCACAAAGACUCGGCUAAGGAACUUUUACCUUCCAAGACUGGGAUACCCUCCAGAGAAGACAGUGCCUCUCGUGUGGGACGAAAGCUG